UGGGGAAUUUUGGACAAUGGGCGAAAGCCUGAUCCAGCAAUGCCGCGUGUGUGAAGAAGGCCUUCGGGUUGUAAAGCACUUUUGUCCGGAAAGAAAUCCUUGGCUCUAAUACAGUCGGGGGAUGACGGUACCGGAAGAAUAAGCACCGGCUAACUACGUGCCAGCAGCCGCGGUAAUACGUAGGGUGCAAGCGUUAAUCGGAAUUACUGGGCGUAAAGCGUGCGCAGGCGGUUUGCUAAGACCGAUGUGAAAUCCCCGGGCUCAACCUGGGAACUGCAUUGGUGACUGGCAGGCUAGAGUAUGGCAGAGGGGGGUAGAAUUCCACGUGUAGCAGUGAAAUGCGUAGAGAUGUGGAGGAAUACCGAUGGCGAAGGCAGCCCCCUGGGCCAAUACUGACGCUCAUGCACGAAAGCGUGGGGAGCAAACAGGAUUAGAUACCCUGGUAGUCCACGCCCUAAACGAUGUCAACUAGUUGUUGGGGAUUCAUUUCCUUAGUAACGUAGCUAACGCGUGAAGUUGACCGCCUGGGGAGUACGGUCGCAAGAUUAAAACUCAAAUGAAUUGACGGGGUCA
rnacentral:rRNA from 1 species